UACGGGGGGGGCAAGCGUUGUUCGGAAUUACUGGGCGUAAAGGGCUCGUAGGCGGCCAACUAAGUCAUACGUGAAAUCCCUGGGCUCAACCCAGGAACUGCGUCCGAUACUGGAAGGCUUGAAUCCGGGAGAGGGAUGCGGAAUUCCAGGUGUAGCGGUGAAAUGCGUAGAUAUCUGGAGGAACACCGGUGGCGAAGGCGGCAUCCUGGACCGGUAUUGACGCUGAGGGGCGAAAGCCAGGGGAGCAAACGGGG
rnacentral:rRNA from 1 species